rnacentral:rRNA from 1 species
CCUUAUGGCCAUACCACCCUGAGCACGCCUGAUCUCGUCUGAUUUUGGAAGCUAAGCAGGGUUGGGCCUGGUUAGUACUUGGAUGGGAGACCGCCUGGAAAUACCAGGUGCUGUAAGUU